UUGAGACUAAUAAUGCAAGUUAAAAGAUUUUUAUCUCCAGUGUCCUGUGAUGCAUCCUCUCAUUAAGAAACUGAAAGUUUCAAGAAUCGGGGUCUGGAUUUGCAAAGCAUAUCAAGCAACAGAAAGAGGUGAAUGAUGUAGAAUCAAUGAUUAUUUUAUGCCUACCUUAACAGGAACCUUGAUUUAACUUACCUGAAAGCAUGAAAUUUAGAGAUUAGAAAUUGAAAGAGAGAGAACAGGAUAAUGUUAGUAGUAUGCCCUAGAGUAUAUCAACAAAUUGUACCUUAUAAAUAUUUAUUUUUCUUUUAAUGGCUUGUUUUUUUUUAAAAAAAAC
rnacentral:misc_RNA from 1 species